rnacentral:lncRNA from 13 species
GUGGUUCAUACCUGUAAUCCCAGUGCUUUGGGAGGCUGAUGCUGGAGGAUCACUUGAGGUCAGGAGUUCAAGGCUAGCCUAGGCAACAUAGUGAGAUCCUUUCUCUUUUUUAAAAAAAGUCUUUUUUUCAUUAUCUGGGCCUGGUGAUAUGCAUCUGUAGUUCUAGCUAGGCUUGUAAUUCCAGUGCUUUGUGAGACUGGGGCAAGUGAAACACUUGAGUCCAGGAGUUUGAGGGUGAAGUAAGCUAUGACUAUAACACUACACUGAAGCCUGGGUGACAGAGCAAGACUCUUGCCUCUAUUAAAAAAAAAAAAAAAAAGGGAAUCUAUGGUGGAAGUACUAUAUAAUUUUGAGCUCAUCUUUCGACCUCCACAGUCAGUGGAGUCACAGUUUUCAGGUGAAAUUGCCUCUGAUGAUUAAUUUUGUAUGUUAACUUCAUUUAGUUCAGGGAUACCCACAUAGCUGAUAAACAGUAUUCCUGGGUGUGUCUCUAAAGGGUUUUUCCAGAAAAGAUCUGCACUUGAAGUAUGAGACUGAGUAAAGAACGCGUGACCUCUCCAAUGUGGGCAGGCAUCAUCCAGUCCACUGGGGCCCUGCACAAAAAGCAGAACUUCUACGGAAAUUCCACCAGGAGGCAGCAGAAGAGCGGGUUUCUCCCGUUCCCUCCGGACCCCAGAGAGACAGCGGAGCCGGGUGUCCCUCGGAGCUUUAAUCUUCCCCUCCGUCGCUUUUCCCCUCACCCGCCUCUAAUUAAGUCAGAAAGGUCCUAUAUUUAUUUGCCCAUGAACUGACACAGCAAACCAACAGCAGCCACUGUAGUGUGAAUGGAUUUGCGACCAGGCAAGGGGCUUCAGCCGGGAUUACCCGCCCCGCAGCCGGAUGAAAGUGCUGAGCACAAAGUCUGCUCAAAGCCGAGCAAACGGACUAUUUGUGAAAAUGCCAUCCUGGCUCAAGUCUGAUUAAGACCGGGGGUCCCGAGGCCGUUUGAUCUUCGCUCAUCAAAGAGAGUCUUUAAACAAGCUUCAUUUUACACUACUGUAUGCCGGCGACGGGUUGUGACACCCAAGUGCAGCCACCGUGAGCA